GGAAAGAAGACUUUGGAAGCAGCAAAUGCGGAGGCAGAGGAGGAACAGGUGGAGUCAGAACAGUCACAGGAUUUCCUCAGGCAGGCAGGGCUCAGAGUGCUGGACCAUGAGCACAGGAAGAGGCCAAGUGACCCGCGGAUGAGGACCCAGCAGCACAAAGGGCCUGGGGCGGGGGGAGCGCACUGAUGUAUGGGCAGAAGAUGCCGAAGUCCUCCUUCAAGGGAAGGGGAGGGUGGGAUGGAAGCCUCCAAAAACUGGAGGGAGAGGCAUGCGGGCGGAGUCGAGAGUGAGGAGGAACCCGCCGUCGGAGGGCAGGUGCUCUGCAGCAUGGAGAGCAUUGCCAGAGGACCGGAAGGCUGGGGUGCAGCCCGAGGAAAGGCAGUGCCGAAUGUCAGCGCCCCCGGGGGGCGGGAUGGACCGCAGGAAGGAGCAGGAUGCUGAGCAGAUGGGAUGACGCAGCCGCUUGGCUCACCUCACGACAGUGGAUGACUGAAGCAUUCUUGAGCUUCCUUGCUCUGGAUCUGGGGAGCUGCUCUGUGUACUUCUCAGCCUGCGGCCAAAUGGCCUCGAAAGCUGGUGGCCAUGACAUGGUGAACAACCCUGCUGACCUGACAAGUAAGCCGGAUCUUGCUGAUUUCAAAACUAGAAUCCAUUACUUUGCCCUCACAAGGGAAACUAGACUUCCCAACCUUCCGUGAUCAUCCUAAUUUGCUAGGUUUGGGCUGAGCUACAGGGAUGGAAGCUAAAAUAGGUGACAGCCAUACAGACAACAGGCUCCAGUAUCCGAUCCACAACUCAGGGAUGCCCACCUGUAGUUUCAAUGCAUGUGUUAGUAAGACCCUGCAGACCCAAGGCUCCAUUCACUCCAUGUAUGUCUAUGGCUCCUCUGAUGGCAAGAGAGCUCAGAGGCUGGCAGUGCCUACACUGGGCUAGCAUUUUAUUUCCUUGCCUGGAGGGGCCAUCAUUAAAAAUAAAUACACGAAUAAAACAAAAACUUAAAUAUGU
rnacentral:lncRNA from 1 species